AUUAGAGAAAGACUUGAAGGUUGCAAAUGUCAUCUGCAUGAAUGGAAGAAGGCACUUAACCUCAUCAAGGAAUGAGGUCUCAAGGGAUCUCAUUGUAAAUUCUAAUUCCAAAAAGAAACAAGCUCUCCUGGAUUUGCUUCCUAUAUUAUCUGACCUUCAUCAUGCAUUGGACAUGCAAGCAGCUCUUGAAUCAUUAGUUGAAGAAGGAAAUUAUUGCAAGGCAUUCCAAGUACUAUCUGAAUAUUUACAGCUAUUAGAUAGUUUUUCAGAGCUUUCAGCCAUGCAGGAGAUGACUCGUGGAGUUGAGGUUUGGUUGGGAAGAACCCUUCAAAAGCUGGAUUCACUUUUAUUAGGAGUGUGCCAGGAGUUCAAGGAAGAGAGUUAUAUAACUGUGGUUGAUGCUUAUGCUUUAAUUGGAGAUGUAUCUGGUCUUGCUGAAAAGAUUCAAAGCUUCUUUAUGCAGGAAGUUCUUUCAGAAACCCACUCUGUUUUGAAGAAUAUUUUGCAAGAGGACCG
rnacentral:misc_RNA from 1 species